rnacentral:rRNA from 1 species
GACGAACGCUGGCGGCGUGCCUAAUACAUGCAAUUUGAGCGCUGAAGGUUGGUACUUGUACCAACUGGAUGAGCAGCGAACGGUUGAGUAACGCGUGGGGAAUCUGCCUUUGAGCGGGGGACAACAUUUGGAAACGAAUGCUAAUACCGCAUAAAAACUUUAAACACAAGUUUUAAGUUUGAAAUAUGCAAUUGCAUCACUCAAAGAUGAUCCCGCGUUGUAUUAGCUAGUUGGUGAGGUAAAGGCUCACCAAGGCGAUGAUACAUAGCCGACCUGAGAGGGUGAUCGGCCACAUUGGGACUGAGACACGGCCCAAACUCCUACGGGAGGCAGCAGUAGGGAAUCUUCGGCAAUGGACGAAAGUCUGACCGAGCAACGCCGCGUGAGUGAAGAAGGUUUUCGGAUCGUAAAACUCUGUUGGUAGAGAAGAACGUUGGUGAGAGUGGAAAGCUCAUCAAGUGACGGUAACUACCCAGAAAGGGACGGCUAACUACGUG